rnacentral:tRNA from 1 species
GAGGAUAUAGCUCAGUGGUAGAGUGUGUGCUUAGCAUGUAUGAGGUCCUAGGUUCAUCCCCCAGUACCUCG